rnacentral:rRNA from 1 species
AUUGAACGCUGGCGGCAGGCUUAACACAUGCAAGUCGAGCGGGGUGAUGGUGCUUGCACUAUCACUUAGCGGCGGACGGGUGAGUAAUGCUUAGGAAUCUGCCUAUUAGUGGGGGACAACAUCUCGAAAGGGAUGCUAAUACCGCAUACGUCCUACGGGAGAAAGCAGGGGAUCACUUGUGACCUUGCGCUAAUAGAUGAGCCUAAGUCGGAUUAGCUAGUUGGUGGGGUAAAGGCCUACCAAGGCGACGAUCUGUAGCGGGUCUGAGAGGAUGAUCCGCCACACUGGGACUGAGACACGGCCCAGACUCCUACGGGAGGCAGCAGUGGGGAAUAUUGGACAAUGGGGGGAACCCUGAUCCAGCCAUGCCGCGUGUGUGAAGAAGGCCUUAUGGUUGUAAAGCACUUUAAGCGAGGAGGAGGCUCUUUUGGUUAAUGCCCAAGAUGUGUGGACGUUACUCGCAGAAUAAGCACCGGCUAACUCUGUGCCAGCAGCCGCGGUAA